GGUAAAGACCAUGGAACGAGAAAAUAAACCUGGAAACACUUGUAAACUGUGAAGUGCUGUCUACAUCCAAAAAAGAAAAAAAUUAAAAUUUUGUCUUAAAGGGUCUUGGAUUGGUCAAGAAGCAAACUAGAUUUAGGCAGUGAGUCACCGAGGGUCCCCAUGAGAAAGGCCACUGGACUUGAUCUUCACUCCUGGAGCCCACCAUGUCAUGCCAUGCUGGGACAAGGGUGCGGAGGGAGAUCCUACAAUCAGGAGGCUUCAGGGUCCAGUUAGCCAAGAGGCAAAGGUGUUCUGGGAGCACAAAGGAGGGAGGAAGUUGGCUCGCUGGGGUGAGGCAGGGAGGAAGACUUCCCGAGGAGUCAGCCUUGAGAGGACUCUUUAAGGAAUGGUUAUAGCUCCCAUGGGGAGAAAGGGAAGUAUAUCGCAGUCAGAGACAAAUUAUAGCAGAAAAAUCCAGGGAUGAGAAAGUGUGUAGUGUGUUCAGGGAAAGGACAUGAAAUGUGGCUGAAAUGCAGGGCAGGAAGGAGGGAGGUUCAGAUGAAGACAAGUUGGGCAGGGCUUCCAGUGCUUUCCUGCUGCUGCUGCUGCUGCUGCUAAGUCGCUUCAGUCGUGUCUGACUCUGUGAGACCCUAUGGACAGCAGCCCACCAGGCUCCUCCAUCCACAGGAUUCUCUAGGCAAGGAUACUGGAGUGGGUUGCCAUUUCCUUCUCCACCAGUGCCUCCCUAGGGAGCUCAGACUCUAUCCUGAGGUUGAUGAGUGUAUAUGAAGGCUUUGCAACAGGGGAACGAUGUAGUCAGGUGGGGGUUCUAGAAAGAUCCCUGUGGUAGGUGUAGAGGAUAUUUAAAGGCAAGAAGAGGGAAGAGAGGACAGACUGAAGCCGUUGCCUUGAGUUGAAGGUGGCCUGAGCUAAGGCAAUGGCAAGAGGGUGGGAGAAGGGACAGAUGGGUGAAACCUUUCCAGAACAGAACAGCAGAAUAUUCAGUAGAAUGAUUUAAGGAGAGAAGACUGGCCCUCUCCAGUCCCAGAAAAGAUACAUGUUCAGAACAUUGAUCAGCUCACACUUCGGAAGGAGGAAGCCAGUGGUCCCUAUCCGCUGCAUCAGCAGUGCUGGGGAUGGUGGAGGCUUGAUUGACCAGCCCAUCACAUGUGCAAGACCCAACCCAACCAUUGUACCAAGGAGAAUGGGGCCCUGUGACUGGCCUACUUGCCUUUCCCAGUGGGUAGGAACCCGUGAGGACACCCCACCAGCCUGCAGGUUUAAGGGCAGACCUCUGGGGAACACUGACAUUUCCAGGUUGCACGGAACUUGGGAAGGAGACUGAUGAGUCUGAGAGAGGUUCUAGGAGAAGCAAAGUCUUCAAGGGAGGAGAGAAGUUCUACAGGGAGGCAAUGGAAAAAGGCAAAUUCUGGAAGGGAUGACAGGUGCCCCCUGUUCUGGGCUCCAACCACCCACCCUCACUUGGCGUGGAAAAAGGCUGUGAGCUCUGAUGGGCCAGUGCAGGUUCUACCACGGCUCCCGGUGGAGCUCAUUUCCCCACCUGUGAUAUGAGGACACUCACAGAACACCCACCCCAUAGGAUGGGUGAAAGGUGGGAGCAAGAUGGCACAGAGAAAUGCUUACCCCGAUGCCUGGCACACGCUAAAUGCUCAGUAAUUGGGAGCUACUUAUUCUGCUGGUGGAAGAAAUUGUUAGUAGUGGCAGUGGUCAUAGCCCCAGAAUCCUGAGACCCUGAUGGGUAGAAAGUUUAGCUAAUACCUUCAGGCCCACUGAGGCCUCACGCAUUUAUUCAUUCAACAGUCUUUAGCAGAGCCCCUGCUGUAUGUACCCCAGUCCCAGUGUCAGACAUGGCAGCACACAGGCGUCUAAGGCAUCGGGAGAUAUGAUACGAUGAUGAGGAAACGAAGGUUAGAUCCAAGCCUUCCAGGGAUGAAGCUCACAUGCCAGGGCCACCACACUGCAGUGCUGCUGGAGCAAAUGCGAUGUGAGAGUUCACUGCAAACCCUCCUCUCUGUGUCAACGGUGGUAGCCACAAAGGGCACCCCAGAGGAGUGGGAGUCCCCACGGGAGCAGCUCUCAGGGGAUCCCAGAAGACAGUCCUGUGCUUCUAUUCAGAAACUCAGCCUCUUAAGGACCCUGGAGAAAAUUUCAUUCAUGCCCUGGGAGAAAUGCAUGCCACUUGCAAAUGCAGAAACAGCCCAAAAAGAGGGGAGCAUCUUGUUCAAGGUCACACAGUGAGCCAUGAUGGAAACCCGUCCAGAGUGCAGCUCGCCUUACCCCUGGUGUGGAAACUUAGGUGCAGAAAAAUGGCUUGCCGGAGGUCAGCCCGUCUGGGCCCUGAUCAUGUGUGACGUGUACCCUGAUGUAUUCAUUUAGGACUCCAGCACUACUACACCGACCAGCUUGUGAUCUCCCUGGCUUCAGGCUCCACCUCAAACCUGUCCAUCAUACUUCAACCAGGGCUUGAGAAGAACCAAAAUCUGGCCUGUCCUCCUCUGCCUGAAUCUUCAAUCAUCUACAGGAUCAGGACCCAUCCCCUUCCCACAGCUUACAGUACCCAGAGUCCUAGGCCUGCAUCAUCUCCCACUGUGCCUCGUCUGGAUCUCCACUUGCCCUUCCACGGAGCACCCAAUGCUGCUUCUUGUUUCCGUGCCUUUGCUGGCAUUGUGCCCCCUUCAGGUCUGCCCUUCGUGGCUCUUCCACACCAUUGAAGGCUCAGCUUUUCAUACCGUCCUGCACUCCAGCACUAGCUGCACUGGGCCCUCACUGGGCUACCUCCUCGCCGCUCCGAGUUGACUUCAUCAGCACCUGUACAUGAUAACAUUUUUCAAAUGCUAAUUUUGCUUUUAACGUACAGGAUCAUUUCCAGCUUGUCAGGUCUGGUUAUUCCUUAGUCACAACUGAACAUGAAAACAACCGGGCAGCUUUUCCUGACUGUCAGGGCAAGAGCAGGAGUCAGAGGUGCUCUCUUCCUUUGGCUAAGCUUUCAUGGGAAUGAGCUGCUGUGUCCAGAGGAUAUGUACAUGCCAGUAGAAAGGGGUUCGGGGCCCUCAUCCCUUACAAAUCCCAGUGCUUCAUACUCACCCAGGGCAUUCCCAUCUGGAUCCUCCAUCUCUAUUGGGAUUCAGGGACUUCUUUGAGUUUUCUUGCUCCCACCCAAGCAGUGAGGGACUGAACCUUCAUGUCUGGUUGAGGGUUCUCACUCCACUGGGCAGGGGUCUGUCCUAGAUGGUCAGCUCAUGGGCCAGCCAGCCUCUCAGACAGCACAGUGUGGACCAGCUUGUGCCGUUUUAGGGAGCUCAGUCUUAGGAAGUAAGAGCCCGUCAGGGCCACAAAGAAAUGCUUUUCCACUGCCUGGUGGGAUCACGUGGCCACCAGCAUCUCCAGCACCUUGGGGUUCAGGAUCAGCUCCAACUUCGUGCAGAUGACCUUAGAUGAACUGGUGAUCCCUGAUCCUGCGCUGUCCUGGACAGACAGACAUGACCUCAUGGAGAAUGGACGCCUGACCAGCUGCUCACUCAGUAUCACUGGCCUUUCUGCUUUGGUUACUGCAGUUCCGCUCAGGGACGGGGCUCCUGAUAUUCUGGGUGAAAUGCGGUCCCCAUAACUUUUACUUAUUGAGACUUAUACUUUGGCCCCCUGAUGUGAAGAGCUGACUCAUUGGAAAAGACCCUGCUGCUGGGAAAAAUUGAAGGCAAGAGGAGAAAGGGGUGACAGAGGAUGAGAUGGUUGGAUGGCAUCAUCAAGUCAAUGGACAUGAGUCUGAGGAAACUCAGGGAGAUAGCAAUGGACAGAGAAGCCUGGGGU
ensembl:lncRNA